GCGCAGCAGGCGCGAAACUUCACAAUGUGCGAAAGCACGAUGAGGGAAUCCCAAGUGCUUGCACGUAAGUGUAAGCUGUUUCUCUGUCUAAAACGCAGAGAGAGUAAGGGCUGGGUAAGACGGGUGCCAGCCGCCGCGGUAAUACCUGCAGCUCGAGUGGUGACCGUUAUUAUUGGGCCUAAAACGUCCGUAGCCGGUUUAAUAAAUGCCUGGGUAAAUCGGACCGCUUAACGGUUCGAAUUCCGGGUAGACUGUUAAACUUGAGACCGGGAGAAGUUAGAGGUACUCCUGGGGUAGAGGUGAAAUUCUGUAAUCCUAGGGGGACCACCAGUGGCGAAGGCGUCUAACUAGAACGGGUCUGACGGUGAGGGACGAAGCCCUGGGGCGCAAAACGGGGAUUAGAUACCCCUGUAGU
rnacentral:rRNA from 1 species